rnacentral:rRNA from 1 species
AUAUGGUCAAGUGAAGAAGCGCAUACGGUGGAUGCCUUGGCAGUCAGAGGCGAUGAAAGACGUGGUAGCCUGCGAAAAGCUUCGGGGAGUCGGCAAACAGACUUUGAUCCGGAGAUGUCUGAAUGGGGGAACCCAGCCAUCAUAAGAUGGUUAUCUUGUACUGAAUACAUAGGUGCAAGAGGCGAACCAGGGGAACUGAAACAUCUAAGUACCCUGAGGAAAAGAAAUCAACCGAGAUUCCCUUAGUAGUGGCGAGCGAACGGGGACUAGCCCUUAAGUGGCUUUGAGAUUAGCGGAACGCUCUGGAAAGUGCGGCCAUAGUGGGUGAUAGCCCUGUACGCGAAAAUCUCUUAGUCAUGAAAUCGAGUAGGACGGAGCACGAGAAACUUUGUCUGAAUAUGGGGGGACCAUCCUCCAAGGCUAAAUACUACUGACUGACCGAUAGUGAACUAGUACCGUGAGGGAAAGGCGAAAAGAACCCCGGAGAGGGGAGUGAAAUAGAUCCUGAAACCGUAUGCGUACAAGCAGUGGGAGCCCACUUUGUUGGGUGACUGCGUACCUUUUGUAUAAUGGGUCAGCGACUUAUUUUCAGUGGCGAGCUUAACCGAAUAGGGGAGGCGUAGCGAAAGCGAGUCUUAAUAGGGCGUCUAGUCGCUGGGAAUAGACCCGAAACCGGGCGAUCUAUCCAUGGGCAGGUUGAAGGUUGGGUAACACUAACUGGAGGACCGAACCGACUACCGUUGAAAAGUUAGCGGAUGACCUGUGGAUCGGAGUGAAAGGCUAAUCAAGCUCGGAGAUAGCUGGUUCUCCUCGAAAGCUAUUUAGGUAGCGCCUCAUGUAUCACUGUAGGGGGUAGAGCACUGUUUCGGCUAGGGGGUCAUCCCGACUUACCAAACCGAUGCAAACUCCGAAUACCUACAAGUGCCGAGCAUGGGAGACACACGGCGGGUGCUAACGUCCGUCGUGAAAAGGGAAACAACCCAGACCGUCAGCUAAGGUCCCAAAGUUAUGGUUAAGUGGGAAACGAUGUGGGAAGGCUUAGACAGCUAGGAGGUUGGCUUAGAAGCAGCCACCCUUUAAAGAAAGCGUAAUAGCUCACUAGUCGAGUCGGCCUGCGCGGAAGAUGUAACGGGGCUCAAACCAUACACCGAAGCUACGGGUAUCACGUAAGUGAUGCGGUAGAGGAGCGUUCUGUAAGCCUGUGAAGGUGAGUUGAGAAGCUUGCUGGAGGUAUCAGAAGUGCGAAUGCUGACAUGAGUAACGAUAAUGGGUGUGAAAAACACCCACGCCGAAAGACCAAGGUUUCCUGCGCAACGUUAAUCGACGCAGGGUUAGUCGGUCCCUAAGGCGAGGCUGAAAAGCGUAGUCGAUGGAAAACAGGUUAAUAUUCCUGUACUUCUGGUUAUUGCGAUGGAGGGACGGAGAAGGCUAGGCCAGCUUGGCGUUGGUUGUCCAAGUUUAAGGUGGUAGGCUGGAAUCUUAGGUAAAUCCGGGAUUCUAAGGCCGAGAGCUGAUGACGAGUUA